rnacentral:lncRNA from 1 species
ACCAUUUGUAUUCAGUUGGUUGAAAGAUUGCCACCUUUUCAUGGGCUGAAAGAUCGCCAACUUGUUCAAAGGUGUCAUAGUUCGAAUGCAUCAUCCACAUAUCCCGAGAAUACCAUUUCAUGGCCUGCGAAUCUUUACGUUAUGAUCUUCACGGCCAAUGACAUCAAAGUCCAAUGACGUCAUCUUAAUUGUCCGAAGACAGCAUUCAUGGUCCAACUGGAACUUGC